rnacentral:tRNA from 1 species
UGCCUCGGGAGAGAAUUGAACUCCCAUCUCAAUUUCUUCAGAAUCGCGCUUGGACCACUAAGCAACCGAGGC